rnacentral:rRNA from 1 species
AUUGAACGCUGGCGGCAGGCCUAACACAUGCAAGUCGAGCGGUAGCACAGAGAGCUUGCUCUCGGGUGACGAGCGGCGGACGGGUGAGUAAUGUCUGGGAAACUGCCUGAUGGAGGGGGAUAACUACUGGAAACGGUAGCUAAUACCGCAUAACGUCGCAAGACCAAAGAGGGGGACCUUCGGGCCUCUUGCCAUCAGAUGUGCCCAGAUGGGAUUAGCUUGUUGGUGGGGUAACGGCUCACCUAGGCGACGAUCCCUAGCUGGUCUGAGAGGAUGACCAGCC